ACCCAGGGAUCUUGUUAAAAUGCAGAUUCUGAUCUAGGGGUGAGGCUCUAGAUUGCAAAUUCUAACAGGCACUCAGGUGCUG
rnacentral:miRNA from 1 species